GGGGACUUAGCUCAGUGGUAGAGCGCUUGCCUAGCAAGCACAAGACCCUGGGUUCGGUCCUCAGCUCCA
rnacentral:tRNA from 1 species